AAAUCAAAUUAAACCACACGACAUUAAUCGGCCCCACUGAGCCCAGUGAACCAAAUUUGAUGGAGUCUUGGAGCGUGCUUCGCACGUGAGCCUUCCCUUCGCCCGCACUCCUUCCAAUUCCCGGCGAACGCUCACGUGAUGCGGGACGUGGACCACGCUGCCCUUUCAAAAAUUGAGGAUAGCGAGAGGGAAUCGUCACCUGUCCUCUUCCACCUACCGGAGGUUCCCCCACUCGCGCUGGACUAUUAUUUGAGCUAUUUUGCCUCGUCGAGCUCCAGAGUCGGAUCGGGUCACCGUCCGCUGUUGAAAGCUGCCGACCGAUGUUUUCCGCUGAGACGGAACGCCGGCCUCGGGCUGCAGAGCCGGCGCUUCUGCCGGAGCCUCUUGGGCAGGCGGCGCAGGGCAAUACGUUCCGCAACUUCUCGCUCCCGAUCACGAAGACGUGGGGGAACAAGCGAGUGCUACGCUGCGUGAGCGUGGGCGAGGGAGCCGCCGGCGGCGUCGAUGGCGCGGGCGGACGACGAUCGUCGCGUGAUCUGGAGGCAGGAAGCAGCGACAGAAGUGUGGUGGAGGAAGUGAGGGAGAAACUCUUGGCUCACCUCCGGGAGGCGGCGGAUCGAAUCAAUCUGAUAGUUCAUCGAGCGCCGCUGCCGCCGCCUUCCAAAGGCGAUGACCACGUCAGGGAAACCGUGCCGGCGGAAGAUCCCGAAACGGAGCCGUCGUCAUCCGCCGCGGCAUGGCCGUGGAAACUGCGGACGAGGCGAAGGGGGGCUAGGGUUCAGGCGGCGUUCGAGCGGCAAGAGAGUGCGUCGCCGCCCGUCGCAGGCGAGAAAAGAUCGGGGCGGCUGCUGACGUCAGAAAUAAUGGAGCGGAGCGAACGCCCUAAUUUCUCCGUUACUCUUUCCAGGGAGGAGAUCGACGAGGACAUCUACGCCGUCACCGGUCACAGGGCACGCCGCCGGCCUCGAAAGCGGCCCCGUCUCAUCCAGAAGCAACUCGAUAUGUUGUUUCCUGGUUCAUGGCUUUCGGAGGUCACGGUCGACUCCUACAAGGUUCCCGAAUAGAAGCGCUUGCACGGUCACCGGCGGCAUACCUUCUCCUCCGUCGCCAUUGACUCUCAUCUUCUCCACCCACCGCUUCAACAUUCAACAGUGUCCGCCAACAGCACAACCAGCAACAGCAGCACCACCACCACCAGCACGAACCCCACCGCCCACCACCAGUCAUAUCAUUUCACGUGUGAAAUCGCAUUCAACCCUCGUGGGCUUAAAUAGGUAAUCCUUUAUUCAGUACUCUGGUUCAUGGUUGGAAUCAUGUCAAGUCCCUUUCAAUUUCACUUAAUAGUCAAUGCAUUGUGAAUUCUAUAUUCAUGGUGGAUGGGGCCCAAUAUGAUAAAAAAAAAAAUCUAGUCGCAUCGAAUUGUGGUUGGGGAGGAAAUCGAUUAGUAGGUGGACCCCUAAGAAAAGCCUAAUCACUCAGAGUAGUUCUCAACUGGUGAUCAUCGCUAAAAAUUAGGAUUAGUAUCCUUUUCUAACUUUAAUUUGGUGGCUGAUUGUUCGCUAAUAAAUUUAUGCGUAUUUCAUGAGUGAUAAGGACCAUGAAGCAGUGUUGAGCAGAUGGUAGCUGGAACUUGCAUCAGUUGAGAUUGAGAAGCUCCUGGAUAACCAUUUGUGAAUAUUUGAGAGGCUUCUAUAGGAGUUCUUCUUCAUAUACUCCGUCUAGCACAAACAGUCAUGAGAGGGAACUCCAAGAAAGAUAGAAUAAAAGGAGAUAAGUGUAUUAGUUUUUCAAUGAUGCAGUCUGGGAGUAGUAGAUUUUUUGAUGAACUAUGGAUUAAAUAUAUUCCCUUUUGAUCAUUUCUAUCAAUCUACAUUCCCAAUUUCACACGAUCAGGGUUUUGGGAUUUCAAUAUAUACCUCGUUGUCUAACUAAAGCUACA